AUUGAACGCUGGCGGAAUGCUUUACACAUGCAAGUCGAACGGCAGCACGGACUUCGGUCUGGUGGCGAGUGGCGAACGGGUGAGUAAUGUAUCGGAACGUGCCCAGUCGUGGGGGAUAACGUAGUGAAAAUUACGCUAAUACCGCAUACGAUCUAUGGAUGAAAGCGGGGGAUCGCAAGACCUAGCGCGAUUGGAGCGGCCGAGAUCAGAUUAGGUAGUUGGGGGGGUCAAGGCCCACCAAGCCAACGAUCUGGAGCUGGUCUGAGAGGACGACCAGCCACACUGGAACUGAGACACGGUCCAGACUCCUACGGGAGGCAGCAGUGGGGAAUUUUGGACAAUGGGCGAAAGCCUGAUCCAGCCAUUCCGCGUGCAGGAUGAAGGCCCUCGGGUUGUAAACUGCUUUUGUACAGAACGAAAAGGUUUCUACUAAUACUAGGAGCUCACGACGGUACUGUAAGAAUAAGCACCGGCUAACUACGUGCCAGCCGCCGCAGUAA
rnacentral:rRNA from 1 species